UGGGUUUAUCGUCUAAUGGAUGAGGACAGGAACCUUCUAAGUUUCUAAUGUAGGUUCGAUUCCUACUAAACCUGU
rnacentral:tRNA from 1 species